rnacentral:lncRNA from 1 species
GAAUAUGGAUGGUGUGCCUGCUAUGGCUAGUUGUAGGGUGAAAUGCCAUUACUUAACAGAGAAAAAAUUAGGAGAGGAUGGGCGGCGCAUCUAAAAAAUCUACCUUUAUCAAGCCUAUAAAUAGGAGUUCCAAGGGAGUUUCAGUGGAUUCAAGGGAGUACAAAAAUGUAGUAGUGUCACAUUGGUCUCAACAGAAGAAUAUGAGAGAGGGAUUAAAGCCGGAAGCUCUGCGCACGUGACAGGCUGCAGAUGGCUUCCAAGUUUAUCUUUUCAAAAUUACCUAUACAACUACAAUGAGUAAGCGUAUCUAUCAAUCUCUUUGUUGGGGGUGAAUGUAGUCAUUAUAUUCUCAUGUUUAAUUACGGUUAUGGCAUUUUAUGUAAUUCUACUUGAGCUUUAAUAUUGAUAAUUUUUUAUUUUUAAUGCUUAUUUUAGAUUUACUAUCUAAAAUAUAUUUUAGUGGUACGACUUGACAUACAAAAGGUGUUGGUUAUUACUAGAUCUAUGUCUCCAUCUAUUGGAUGCUAAUGCCUAGACAUAUGGUUAUGUUUAAUAUCUACAUAAUACCGAUAAUUGGUAAUCAAUAUCUUCAUGUCAGUGUUGAAACUUAAUAUUGGUGUAUUUAAUAGUGCAAAAAAUCGCAUAUUAAGUGAUAUAACUGAUCUCAUGUCUUUGAGUAAGAGAUGAGAUACAAUGAAAGCAACCCGCGAUAUUAUUAAUAGCUAAAUAAAAAAGCAUACUAAUGACCAAUAGUCAUGCGUGAGUAUAAAUGAUGACGAAAUCUACCCCUUGCAAGUUUUCUCACAGUUGUCCUUAGAGGUGAUUACAUUGGUGGACUUCCACUACAAAACCCUUGUCGCCCUUGGAGGUGGUUGCAUUAGUGGACUUCCACUAGAAGAUCAUUGUCGUCCUCAAAGGUGGUUACAUUGUUGGAAUACCACUUGAAGGUUCUUGCUUCCCUAGGAGGUGAUUACAUUGUUGGACUUCCACUAGAAGAUCCUUGCCGCCCUUGGAGGUGAUUGCAUUGUUGAGCUUCCAUUGAAAGAUCCUUGCCACCCUUGGAGGUGAUUACAACGUUGGACUUCCACUAAAGAUCCUUGUCACCCUUAGAGGUGAUCAAGCUACCAGACUUCCAUUAUAAGAGAUUUGUUCCAGACGAUGAAUUUGAGGCCAUCCAAC